rnacentral:sRNA from 1 species
CUCGCUGCUAAGCUAUCACUGCCAAUCUAUCUAUCACUGCUAAUCUAUUGCUGCUAAUCUAUCACUGCUAAUCUAUCACUGCUAAUCUAUCGCUGCCAACCUAUCUACCGCGGCGAAUCUAUCUAUCGCUGCCAAUUUAUCUACCACUGCCAAUCUAUUGCUGCUGCCAAUCUAUCUAUCACUGCUAAUCUAUUGCUGCUAAUCUAUCACUGCUAAUCUAUCGCUGCUAAUCUAUCGCUGCUAAUCUAUCGCUGCUAAUCUAUCGCUGCUAAUCUAUCGCUGCCAACCUAUCUACCGCGGCGAAUCUAUCUAUUGCUGUCAACCAACCUACCACUGCCAACCUAUCUAUCGCUGCCAAUCUAUCGCUGCCAAUCUAUCGCUGCCAAUCUAUCGCUGCCAAUCUAUCGCUGCCAACCUAUCUACUGCAGUGAAUCUAUCUAUCACUAUCAUUACUAGUUCAAAAUAGAACUAGAGCAUAAAUACACUAAACUUCUUUUGAUAGAUAAUGAUUUUUGGUAACACUCAUAGCAUUAUAUCAUCUAUAUAGGGUAAAUCAUGGUCCCAUUUGAUCCCAUUUUAACAAAAUGGGAUCAAAUGGGAUCAGAAUCAGUAAUUUAUAAGAAGAACAUGACCUG